rnacentral:lncRNA from 1 species
UGCGCCUCUCUUCUUCCUCUCUUCUCUUAAACUCUCUUCUCUGCGCCUCUCUUCUUCUUCUUCUCUUCUUCCGAUUUUGUUGUCCAACACAACGGUGAUGGAGGGAUGAUGAAUAAGGGAUUAAGGGAUGAUGAAGAAAAAGCUCUAAUUUUCGAUUGUUUGGAGAGUGGAGGCAGAUGAGUUUGAGUUGGGUGAUGUAAAGUUGGGGUUUCUGAGUUUUUCAGCUUCUGGGUUUGAGUAUUCACGCAUUUCAGGUAUAAACCCAACCUGGGUUUUCUAGGUUUCUCUCACUUUCUUUGUUUCCUAUGCUCUUUCUUUGAAUGUUUUCUUACCUUUCUUCGUAAGAAUAUGAAAGUGAUUAUUACCAUGAAUAUGAAAUCGUAUUUUGAAGAUUCAUGGAUUGUUCUUUCUUUGUAAGAAUAUGAAAGUGAUUAUUAAACAUGAAUAUGAAAUCGUAUUUUGAAGAUUCAUGGAUUGUUAUAUAUAUUUAUGUUAUUAUGUUAUCAUCAUAGAGGUGAAUCAUAUGAUGCAUCCUAAACUGUAUAUGUAUACCAUGUAUUGAAACUCUGUAUAUUAUGCAUUAUAUCAAUUGAUUUCUCGAUUUGUCGAUAUUUGGUUAUGCUUCCUCAACUUGUGUCCAUUAUAGCCACCAGUACAUUGUUCUGUUAUAGAUGUGAUCGAUUUUCGGUUCAGCUUCUUCUGAAACUUCAUAUAUAAUCGCUUUUCCAUAGCUAUUGCACUGUGUCACAAGCUUUUGUUAUUAUAUGUUCUCUUUGAUAACCAUGUAAGCCAUCAAUCUGCAUGUAAGCCAUCAAUCUGUUGUUUCAUCUUAUUAAGCAAACACCUAUUCUAUACAGCUCUACAUCAUCUCUGCUCAGUGAUCCUUAUUUUAUUCAAACUACUUGUAAUAGUGUUUUGGUUUAUAUAUACUGACCACUUUAAUUAACAGUUAAUAUUUAAGCUAACAUGGUCAUUCUUAAAAUAUUGGGGAUGAUAUGAUCCUAAUAUAUAUAAUAGGAUGAUAUGAUAUGAUCAAAUUUAAAGUCCAGAAAACAUUGGCUCCUAGGUCUCCAAAAAUUGGGUAUAACCUAUUUUGAGUCUUGAAGUCAGGUUUUCUUUCACUCGUCAGGUUUUCUGUUCCAACUUCUUCCUACAAACCAAAUGGUUAAAUCUUACUCCCCAAAUUUUGUCCUGCUUUAUCUAUUGAUGUUCUGUUUUGCAGAUAUUUAUAGCUUAGCCAUGUGCAAGAGAGAAAUGGUACAUGCCAAGCAUAUGUAUUGUUCCAGCUGAUACUGGCCUUAGAGAAAGCUUCUGGCACAGCAUUUCUAAGUGACAUUGGUUCUUAGCCUGGCUCUUGUUCCAUCUACUUAUUAUCAUGUUGGGUCUUUGGCAGUUGUACUUGGCCUCGGAUUGAUCUAAUGAAUUAGCUUUUUCUGCUGUAAUAGUUUUUAGUUGUACCUAUGUAAUUUCACUAAGUUGGGUUCUGUUGAAUGUUGCUUUAUAUUUGUCUGCAAUAUUGAUGCUUUAUAUUUGAUAUGCAAUGUUUGAUGCUUUGAAUUGGUUUUCUAAAGCUGCAAUGAAGUAAAUGUAUAGUAAAACAAUCAAAUCUUGUUUGGGCCCGAAAAAACAUAAUCGGUCCGGGCCCAAUCGGGCUGAAAAUUUGAAAGGCCCGGCCCGACCCGACCCGAGAUUUUCGGGUUUCGGGUCGGGUUUUCUAAAAACCCGAACCGGCCCGACCCGAGCCCUGCCCUAAUCAAGAACUAGUUUGCAGCAGAGAGAGUAUUGAGCCAAAAGCUUGUAAACAGAGGAGGCCAAUAACUUGUCUCAACCGGGAGGAAUGAGAAACAGUGAUCGCCAUAGCUUCAUAGGAUGAGAGGCUUGAAGAACAACCAUGGAAAAUGGUAGAGAGAAAACAAACUGAGCUACUGGGAUUGAUAACAUCAUAAUUGUACAAAAGUUGGUUUUCAGCUUACUAUUCUAAAAAGAGAUUUUUCUCUAUUUAUACUACUUAGCUAUUAUAAACCUAGACCACAAUUGGGCUUAUCUGUUGUUCAAAUGGGCCUUCAUCAUCUUAACAUUUUCAUCAUCUUAACAGAACACAGGUGGCCGGCGGCUGUUUCGGAAGAAAACAACAGAUUGAAGUACACGUGGAAAGUCAUUGCCAUGUGGCAAAGUGGUGAAAUCCCAUCUUUCGCCAAAAAAAAAACAGAGAUUUUACUCCGAUCAAUGUUGGUAAAAAAUAAAAAGAAACUUAAGUUUGAGCUUUUACAAAAAUCUUACCUUUUAAUUCUCUAUCUUUUUUGUCACGCCCCAAUUUUUAAAAGAUAAAAUUUAAAAAUUUUGGCAUGAUAUAACCUAAAAUAUUAAUAUCCCAAAACCUGUUUCAACAUAAAUCAAGGAAAAUAAACUCAAUGCGUAAUGUAAAUUUACACACAACACCAAAUUGAGUUAAAUUACAAUUCCUUGUUUAUAUAACUUGAGAACAAGAAAAAGAAACUCUCACAUGAGUUUAAUAAAUCCUAUCCCAGUGUAUAUAAAAAUAAUAUACAAUGAACAUCCAAAACCCGACAAAAAACCCUGCCACUAAGCCUCCACCUCAACCCUGCUGAUCCUCACCUGCAGGUCUAACCCCUACACCAAAAAUAGUGCACCGGGUUGUAAACAAUAAACCCGGUAAGCUAAAAAGCUCGUAUGAGUAAACUCAAAAACAACACAACAUUUAAUCACAUCCAAUAUUCACAAGAGAGAUUGGAUCAAUAAUUAAAAACCACACAUCUAACACAUUACCCAAGAAAUGUACUCAUGAGUCCCAGAUAUUUAAAUAAAUACCCCUCAUGACCUACAACAACACUAUGUGUAUCCAUGGGUCCCAGAUACCAUACAGUAUCUCCCAUGACCUACACUGACAGACGGACUAGAGCUCUAUUCCUAACCGCAACUAAUCAUCCGGCCAAAGGCUUGGAACCCGGUUUGACUGUCUAAUAUCAAACACAAAAGUGAUAAAUAGCAUCUUAACCGCAACCAAUCACCCAAAAAGAGCUUGGAACCCGGUUUGGCUAUUUAUCCAACAAUCAUAAUAAAUUUCACAACCUUGUCCUCAACAACACAAUAUCACAAUUAUUAUUCUCAACAACAUAAUGUCACAUCAUUAUCCUCAACAACACAAUAUCACAUCAUAAAUUAAAUCCUUCCUCAUGGAUAUAUUUACAUGAGAAAAAUAUAGAUAUUCCACAAGAAUAAUCUAUCAAUUAUUAAUAAAAUUAUGAUCACAAUGAAUCUCAAAAAUAGCAUAUAAGAAAACUUGUUUUAUCUUACCUAUGAGCCGUUGACGAUCAAGCUCAUAUAUUUUUAAAACAAUUAAAACCUAUGAGCCGUUGACGAUCAAGCUCAUAUAAUUUUAAAACAAUUAAAAGCAUAUUAUUAAAUUCAACAUCAUCAUCAUUAUCAUCAUCACAUGACCCUAAUAAUCAUUCGGUUCAAAAGUGAACCUUAGUGAGAUUUACUCACCUAGAUAGCCCGCUGCGUUUCCGCAAAACAGAAGAGCAAGCCAACUCACAAUUUCACAAAUCACCUAAAAUAACACACAAUUAAAAACCUUAGAAACCAAGGUAUUAAAGGAUAACACAAUACCCUUAAACUAACCCUUAGCUCAAGGGAGGACAACUUCCUAAAGUCGUUGAACUCAACGACACAAUAGAGCUGUCUCAACUCCUUAAAACCUAAACUCUAACCCAACCAAACCAACACCAAUAAACUUAAGUCCUAGCAUGCCAACAUUUCUUAAAAACUAGCCACACUACCACUCAACAAGCUCACAACAGUAAGGACUACCUAACCACAGGAAACUAGGGCUGCAACUCAACCGGACGCGCUGCCACGCGCCGCCACAG